rnacentral:lncRNA from 1 species
AUGUUUUGCGUAGACGCGUGCGAUCGUUACAGAAACACACAGGCAAAGACUGUCGGGUCAUUCCGGGAAUCCGCACAGCGCCGCGCUCUCGCAGCGCCGAGACGUAAUGACGGCCGGGCGCUUAACGGCCGCGCGCCCAACGGUCACGUGCUCGCGCGCCGCCCAACGGCCGCGGGCCGGGGGCGGCGGUGGGCGGGGCGCUCUCCCCUUUCCGCCGCGCCGCCGUCCUCUGCGCGUCACUUCCGGGUGCCGUCUCGCCGCCGCCGCCGCCGCCAGGAUGAUCCCGCCGGUGCAGGUGUCGCCGCUCAUCAAGUUCACGCGGUACUCGGCCCUGCUGGUGGGGAUGAUCUACGGGAAGAAGCGAUACGACUACCUGAAGCCCAUCGCCGAGGAGGAGAGGCGAGUGGAGGCCGAGGAGAAGAAGAAGCGUGAGGAGCUAGAGCGGAUCGCAAGAGAGCUUGCAGAAGCAAGUGAAGAUUCCAUAUUGAAAUGAACAAAAGACUGGAUCAUACCUUCAUUCAUGGAAGUAUCUGGCUAGGCUCUGAACAGUUUAACUCUGCAUGUUAUUCUAUCAAUAAAGUACUUAUAACACUCUGGCUGUUUUUGUUG